AUUGAACGCUGGCGGCAGGCUUAACACAUGCAAGUCGAACGAGUGGCGGACGGGUGAGUAAUGCUUGGGAAUCUAGCUUAUGGAGGGGGAUAACUACGGGAAACUGUAGCUAAUACCGCGUACCAUAGGAUGAGCCCAAGUGGGAUUAGGUAGUUGGUGAGGGAAAGGCUCACCAAGCCGACGAUCUCUAGCUGGUCUGAGAGGGUGACCGGCCACACUGGGACUGAGACACGGCCCAGACUCCUACGGGAGGCAGCAGUGGGGAAGAUUGCGCAAUGGAGGAAACCGGACAGAGCCAUGCCGCGUGAAUGAAGAAGGCCUUCGGGUUGUAAAGUUCUUUCGUUAGCGAAGCGUUAACUACAGAGAAAGCAACGGCUAACUCCGUGCCAGCAGCCGCGGUAAUUC
rnacentral:rRNA from 1 species